rnacentral:lncRNA from 1 species
GUUUUUUUUUUUUACUAGGGAGUAACAGACUCAGAAAAACGAGUGCUUUGCUUAUCAGCAGAGAAUGAUAGUUUGAAACACAGCCUCACAGUGACACAGGGUCUUCUGCAGCAGCUGUCAGUCAUCCCAUCCCAGUCCAGCUCCGUGCUCAUCAAGGAAAACGAGAACCUGCGCAGUCGCGUUCUGCAGCUGGAGAGUUCACUGCAGCAGCGGGCAGAGCAGCUGUCACGUCUGGAGCACCAGAGGGAGCAAAGCGACUGGAGAAAAGCAGAAGAGCUCAGGAGACGAGAGGAGAGCGUGAGAGAGCUGCGGCUCGAAUUGGACAAAGAACGCAACAAGGAGCCUGUGGUUAAAUAUGUUACCCAAACUGUGGAGGUAGAGUCACCUUCAACUCUACGCCAACUAUCCGAAGCCAGACAACAGAAUGAACAGCUUUCUGAGAAGCUAAGCAAUCAGAGAGAACGAUGCCGACAGUUGGAGGAGAACAUCAGGCAUUCAGAUGAAGUCAGCUGCAAUUUGCAACACAAGGUUUUUCAGCUUUAUCCAUUUGUGUUUAUGAUUGUACAUACA